rnacentral:rRNA from 1 species
UCCGGUGGCGAUGCGCGUGGGGGUCACACCCGUUCCCAUCCCGAACACGUAGUUGGACAGCUUGCUGUCUAACAGGUUAAGCCCCAUGCGGCCGAUGAUACUGUAUUGGAGACGAUAUGGGAAAGCAGGUGGCUGCCGGAU